GAAGGUGGUAACACCCGUCUCCUUCUCGCCAUUAAUCACUGCCCAGUUGAUAGGCGCCGCACCGCGAUACUGCGGAAGGAGGGCUGCAUGCACAUUAAAAGUACCAUAUUUCGGCAUUGACCAAACCACCUCUGGCAGCAUGCGGAAAGCAACUACCACCUGCAAGUCAGCCUGAUAAGAACGCAACUGCUCCACAAAGUCAGGGUCCUUCAUCUUUACAGGCUGCAGCACCGGUAAACCAUGCUCUACGGCAUACUGCUUAACCUGCGAAGGUUGCAGCGUAUCCUGAUGUCUGCCCACCGGUUUAUCAGGCUGGGUAACCACAGCCACCACGUUAUAACCGCCCUCUACCAGGCACUUGAGGGAUUCUACCGCAAACUCCGGUGUUCCCAUGAAAACAAUUCUCAAAUCCUUCUUCUCCAUAAAACACUAAUAUUUUAAAAUAAAACCAGCAAAGCCGUUGAAUGGGUGACGGCGUGCCUUUUGCAUAAUGAUCCUACGAGUUACCGUCACUGGCGAGGUUGAGUGUCAUGAGACACGUAGCCGCAGUGAAAGCGAGCCUGAACAGGGCGCACAGUCAGUGGGGGUAGACGCGAAACCAAGUGAUCUACACUUGGCCAGGAUGAAGUCCCGGUAACACGGGAUGGAGGUCCGCACCAAUAAGCGUUGAAAAGCUUCUGGAUGAGCCGAGUGUAGGAGUGAAAGGCCAAUCAAACUUGGAGAUAGCUCGUACUCCCCGAAAGGCAUUUAGGUGCCGCGUCGGAUGGUCACCGUGAGAGGUAGAGCGACCGAUAGGACAAGAGGGCUUCACCGCCUAUCGAGUCCUGACGAACUCCGAAUGCUCACGGUCUGCAGUCCGGCAGUAAGGGGGCGGGUGCUAAGGUCCGUCCCCGAGAGGAGAAGAAUCCAGACCGCCGUCUAAGGUCCCGGAGUUCUGCCUGAGUUAGUCUAACGAAGUCUGGUCCCUAUGACAGCUAGGAUGUUGGCUUGGAAGCAGCCAUUCAUUCAAAGAGUGCGUAACAGCUCACUAGUCGAGGGUCCGGGCAUGGAUAAUAAUCGGGUAUAAGGCAGACACCGAAGGCGCGGGAUAGCAUUAAAGAAAGUAUCGGUAGGGGAGCAUACUCACAGCGUCGAAUGGUGUACGUAAGUUAUCCUGGAGCGGUGAGUAAAGCAAAUGUAGGAAUAAGUAACGAUAAGGAGGGUUAGAUUCCCUCCCGCUGUAAGACCAAGGUUUCCCGGGCAAUGCCAAUCAGCCCGGGGUCAGUCGGGUCCUAAGUCUAAGCCGAACGGCGAUGGCGAUGGCAGAGACGGUUAAUAUUCCGUCACUGCCGCAUGGGGCGACGUGGAGACGGAGCAGUGAAACCACCGCGGGGCGACGGAAGUCCCCGUUGAAGGGUGUAGGCGUUGAGGAUGGCAGGCAAAUCCACCAUCCGAGCUGAACCUGACAGUACGGAGUCCUCCUCGGAGGAAUCUGAUAGUGUGGGUAAUCAUACUCCCGAGAAAAUCCGCUAAGCUUAACCCAUGCGGCACCCGUACCGCAAACGGACACACGUGGUCGGGUAGAACAUACUAAGGCGUUGAGAGAUUCAUGGUUAAGGAACUAGGCAAAUUGACCCUGUAACUUCGGGAUAAAGGGUCCUCGUGAUGAGCGAGGCGCAGAGAAUAGGUCCAGGCAACUGUUUAACAAAAACACAGGGCUGUGCAAACUCGAAAGAUGACGUAUACAGCCUGACACCUGCCCGGUGCCGGAAGGUUAAGAGGAGAUGUCACUCGCAAGAGGAAGCAUUGAAUUGAAGCCCCGGUAAACGGCGGCCGUAACUAUAACGGUCCUAAGGUAGCGAAAUUCCUUGUCGGGUAAGUUC
rnacentral:rRNA from 1 species